CAAAAGAAAAAAAAAAAGGACCCCGGCAUUGAGGGACAUUACGUUGUUUAAACCCCGAGAGGAAACAACACGCCAGAUUUCAGAGUCGUCUCCUCAGCACAAUUUAACAGUUCAACCCAAAUAUUCAGAUGUGUGCUGCGCAUUUAAUGGAGGACAGUUUCCUGUUCCUGGGAGAGUAGACUACAAUGCCGGCUGUUCUGAAUCACAAUCUUGGCCUCACACC